GACAUGCAAGUGGUAGGAACCGAAAGGCGACCGACCUUCGGGAGCUUGCACAGGUGCUGCAUGGCUGUCGUCAGCUCGUGUCGUGAGAUGUUCGUUAAGUCCGCUAACGAGCGCAACCCUCGCUGUGUGUUACAAGUGUCACACGGUACUGCCGGUCUUAAGCCGGAGGAAGGUGGGGAUGACGUCAAGUCAGCAUGGCCUUUAUGUCCUGGGCUACACACACGCUACAAUGGCCAACACAAUAGGUUGCUAAGCCGCGAGGUGGAGCCAAUCCUCAAAGUUGGUCUCAGUUCAGAUUGCAGGCUGCAACCCGCCUGCAUGAAGAUGGAGUUGCUAGUAACCGCAGGUCAGCUAUACUGCGGUGAAUACGUUCCCGGGGCUU
rnacentral:rRNA from 1 species